GACCCGGUGGUGAAGUGAAUCACACCCACUCUCUGUGCACAGAUUUUCGAACGUUGUAAGUGGGAUCCCUGGUUCGAAUCCGGGUCGGGUUG